rnacentral:lncRNA from 1 species
AUGGAAGUUCCCAGGCGGGGACUGAACUUGCACCUUCCCAGAGACCUGAGCUGCUACAGUCGGAUUCUUAACCCAUGGCUCCACAGCAGGAAUUCCGAAUACCUUAGUGUCUGCAUUGGUGCACGAACAGAACACAUAAAAGAAAAUCAGCAAUGGACUACAGAAGAUAAAACAAAAAACACAAUUUGGCCAUUUGCAGCUAAGGUUUUUCACCAGUUCUACAAUGAAGAGGAGGUGGAAGUAACUGUCAGUAACUAUCAGAACCUUCUACAUAUCAUUCAUGGUUUGUUGCAUACAGACGUGCUUGUGUUGAUGGUAUGGGAACUCUUUUACACUAUGGGUUUUAGCCACUUGGUUAGCUGUUCUGCUGUCUUCAUGAUGUCUUGCUCUGGGGCAGCCUUCACAUUCCACCUAAAUAUGUGGAUCUAGUGGGACCUGCCAGGAACAGUUAAAAUUCUAGGUCCCAGAUGGCUUAUUUACACCCUUUCUAUUCCACCAAGGGCUUGAGGAAUGAUACCAUACAUGAAUGAUACAGUAUAACAAAAUAGAAAAAAUAAAAAUAAAAAAAGAGAUAUCCACCAGAGUUCCUGUUGUGGCGCAGCAGAAAGGAAUCUAACUAGUAUCCAUGAGGAUGUAGUUUCGAUCUCUGGACUCACUCAGUAGGUAGGGGAUCCUGCAUUGUCAUGAGCUGUGACUGCAUUGUCAUGAGCAGUGGUGUAGACUGCAGAUGCUGCUCGGAUGCUUGGAUCCCAUGCUGCUGUGGCUGUGGCAUAGGCCAGCAGCUCUAGCUCCGAUUCAACCCCAGCUGGGAAUUUCUGUAUGUCAUGGGUGUGGCCCUAAAAAGCAAAAAAAUAAAAAUAAAAGAGAGAGCGAGAGAGACACAUGUGACUGGUAAUAAGCCACAGUACUAAACAGAAUAUUAACAUAUCCAGAAGAUUUAAAUAAAUAUUAAGAUACAAUGCUGAUGAUAAAGUAUCAUUGUGAAGUAAUUUGUUUCUUGAUGUGAUGCAGAGUUUGCUUAAUUUUUUUGCAUUUCCUCGCCUAGAGUCUAAUUUUUGUUCUGGAUACCAAAGAUUACUUAUUUUCUUUGUCCUGAACUAUUAUUUUGAGAUAAUAUUUUAUUUUGGGGGGUCUUUUUAUCUUUUUAGGGCUGCACCCAAGGCAUAUAUAAAUAUAUAAUACAUUUGUAAUACAGGUAUAACAUAUAAAACAUUGUAGGAAGUCACAAUAUAUAGAAAAUUAUAAGAAAGAAAAUAAUAUUUAAAAUUACCCAUAUGGAAUUCCUGUUGGCACAGCGGAAACGAAUCUGACUAGGAACCACGAGGUUGAGGGUUUGAUCCAUGGCCUUGCCCAGUGGGUUAAGGAUCUGGCGUUGCUGUGAGCUGUGGUGUAGGUCGUAGAUGCAGCUCGGAUCCCAAGUUGCUGUAGCUGUGGUGAAGGCCAGUGGCUACAGCUCAGAUUGGACCCCUUACCUGGGAACCUCCAUAUGCCGAGGAUGUGGCCCUAAAUAGACAAAAGAGAAAAAAAAAUUACCCUUAAUCCCCUCUCUUCCUAAAUCAAAAUCAGGAGCAAUAAAAAUAGAAGAGGAAUAUUUUACUGCUCCAGAAUGUGAACAAAGCUUUUUGGGAACACAGAAGACAAGGCAGGAAUGCUGACCUGGGAACUGGAGAAUGCUUAACCUAGCAGGUAACAAUUAGGCUGGAGUUUGAAAAAAGAAUAGAUUGCCUGGCGAAGGGGCAAGGAAUGGCAUUGACCUUAAAAGAAAUAAUCUUCAGAAAAUUACAGAGCUCCUCCCACCCACCCCACCCCCUGCCUUUUCUUUCUAGUUAGAAAGUAAAAUUUGGAAACAGGCCUGGAUUGUUCAGCAAAGUGUAAGAGGCUCAAUAUGUCUGGACUCUAGGAGAUAAAAAAGGUGGGUAGAGCUGGAACUGUUGUGAAAGACCUAUGUUCACAAAGCUAUAGAAUUGUCCUUAGCACGAAGUUCCCAUCGUGGCUCAGUGGUUAAUGAAUCCAACUAGGAACCAUGAGGUUGUGGGUUCGAUCCCUGCCCUUGCUCAGUGGGUUAAGGAUUUGGCGUUGCUGUGAGCUGUGGUGUAGAUCGAAGAUGCGGCUCCGAUCCUGCAUGGCGUGGCUGUGGCUGUGGCUGUGACUGUGGUGUAGGUUGGUGGCUACAGCUCUGAUUAGACCCCUAGCCUGGGGACCUCCAUAUGCCUCCGGUGAGGCCCUAAAAAGGCAAAAGACAAAGACAAAAAAGGCAAAAAAAAAAAAAAAAAA